UCUCUCUGAAUCUGCGAACGGCUCCGCAAACCAGUUGUAAACCAUAGCAAGCAUGCCUUGGGCCGCCGCAAGGCGGUCCUUGGCUAUAAGGAUAACCCUGGUAAUUCUGAGGCUAAUACAUGAACGUAACCCCCGGCCGACGGGCAACUGGAAGCCGGGGACCGUGCGAGUAGGCGCAACGUUUUAUCGGAGUAGUCGCACAGUACGACCACCAUCCAAACGGUAUCUGCUUCGCUGCCUCACGGCGGCUGGCGGUGUCCGGGUGGCUCUUGCAAGGUGCUUCUGACCUAUCAACUAGAUGGCAGCGUAACGGACAUGCUAUGGUGACAACGGGUACAGAGGAUAAGGGUUCGAUCCUGGAGAGUGGGCCUGAGAGAUUGCUCACACUUCUAAGGAAGGCAGCAGGCGCGCAACGUUCCCCUUGGGCAAAGCUCGAGGGCGUUAGGGGACAUAUGAAUGCCUGCCUUAUGGUGGGCAAUUCAAAUGGGUCUGUUCUAAACAGCCUCUCGA
rnacentral:rRNA from 1 species